UACGGAGGGUGCAAGCGUUAUCCGGAUUUACUGGGUUUAAAGGGUGCGUAGGUGGGUCUGUAAGUCAGUGGUAAAAUCUCCGAGCUUAACUCGGAAACUGCCAUUGAUACUAUAGGUCUUGAAUUAUCUGGAGGUAAGCGGAAUAUGUCAUGUAGCGGUGAAAUGCUUAGAUAUGACAUAGAACACCAAUUGCGAAGGCAGCUUACUACGGAUAUAUUGACACUGAGGCACGAAAGCGUGGGGAUCAAACAGG
rnacentral:rRNA from 1 species